rnacentral:lncRNA from 1 species
GUGAGACUGUGAAUUCUUCAAAAGCAGGUACUGUGUUUAAUGAAGUGUGCCCAGGACUUUGCUCAGUGACUGGAUGACACAGUAGGAGUAACAAGAAAGUUCACAUGGGUGAACCGUGAAGCAUUUUCUAAAACAAGGUGCAGCAAUCAGUUGAGUGAAUUUGUCACCAGAGCUUAUGUUUUCUGAAAGAACCCUAUCCUCAGGCAGUUGUUCCUAAGAGCCUUUUCCUUUCCCUUGAAGAUUCCACAAAUAUGUCAGCGCUGGAAAUGAUCCUUUGGCUUUGAACUAUGUGAAGACUGCAGAAGGACUGGUUGGUCAGGCUGCAUUUGUAUCCUGGGUCCACAAGACAUCGUUUCCUUAAAACCAAUCCCCCUGAUUUUGCUAAGUGUCUGCAAGCCUAAUAUUUCAUGGAUGUUUGACAAGGACCCCGUCUUUAGCUGAACUAAGGAGAAAGUCCUGCAACACACACAUGGAGCUCAGCAAACGGAGGAUGUAGUAGAUGAAGAAACUGAGGUCCAGAGAAGUUAAACGACCUUCCUAAGAUUACACAGCUUAGUAAGUGGCAGAACCACAGCUGGAAGCCAGGUCCUUCCUCACGCAAGUCCUGGCUCAUUCAUUCCUCUUCCAAAGACUUGCUGAGCACCUUCUAGGUGCCAGAUGCGGUGCUGGCUCCUGGGGACAUGGGAGUGAACAGGCCAGGCGUGGCCCUGAACCAUCAAAUAGACAACCACAGAAAUAACAACAACAAAGACAAAACCGGGCCCUUCCACACAGUAGCUGGAACACAAAGGAAGAUCAGCCAAGCCUCAACAUAAUCUCAUAAAAAUUCUUCAAAUAUCCCAUUGUUAUGGAUUCAUACAUCAGGAAAGCAGAUGCCAAGAACCUGAACACCUUCUACUGGUAACAUAUAUUUUGGCGAGCCAGCCUGGAGACAAGACCACUAUGGGCAACUUCCUGUCUAUUCUACCUGGUGUCACUGUGGACAACUUCCUAUCUAUUCCACCCGAUUCACCGCUUGGCUACAUCCUCCACCAUUGGGAUGAAUUUGACCCUAACAAUCUAAAGAAAAGGCAUAUGAUUUUUUACUGCAAUAUUGUUUGACACAAUUAUGAGCUGCCCAAUCCGGAACAAUGGGCAGUCAAUGGUAGCCUUAAUUAUGAUACCAUCCUGUAUCUAGACCUAUUUUACAAGAGGCAGGGCAAAUGGUCAGAAGUCCCACAUAUACAGGCCUACAUGACCCUAUACGAAGACCUAAGAAUCUAGGAAACUCCCAGAACCCAUCCCCCGAAGGAAAGUUCUGGGGCAGAACUAGAUAUUAUAGAUGAACCCCCUUUUACAAGGGAUACCUGUCUCUCAGAGUGAGCAGUGACUGUCCCCAUAUAACCCCUCACCAAGUGCUCCUGAGGCUGAAACCCAGGGGCAAACAUGGGGAACCCUACUAAGUCCCCCUCACACUUGGAGGGGAACACUGUAUUCAACUCUCUAUCCAGCCCUGCUACUCUCAGAGAAAUAGCAGGGGCUGAGGGGCCAAUCCUAGUGUGGGUCCCCUUCUCUAUGAUUGAUAUACAACAAUGUAAGGAAAAGCUAGGAAGCUAUUCUGAGGAUUCCGGGAAGUUUGCAGAUGGGUUCCAAACUUUGACCUUAGCCUUUGAUCUCUCAUGGAGAGACGUUCAAUUCACUCUAGCAACCUGUUGCACCUCCUCGGAAAAGGAACGAAUCUUUGAGGCUGCCCUCCGAGAAGUGGACGAAUUAUUCACCCAAAACCGUAAAGGCAGUCACCCAGGCCCAGCCACAGUUCCCACUACGCAUCCUAAUUGAGACCAAGACACCCCCGCAGGAAGGAACAACUGGGCUAAAUUUCUUGAGGCUCUUGGAGGAAUGAGAAAGGGAAUAACUAAGGCAGUAAAUUAUGAUAAAGUAAGGCAGAUUACACAAGGCAGGGAGGAAAACCCAGCUGUGUUUUACGGCAGGCUGCGGGAAGCCUUUAAAAAAUAUAUACUAAUUUGGUCCCUUCCUCUCCUGAAGGCAAGUUAUUAAUGGCACAACGUUUCAUUAGCCAAUCCACACCAGACAUUAGACGUAAGCUCCAAAAGCUACACAUGGGGCCACAAACUAACCAAAAUCAGCUUCUUGGUACUGCCUUCAUGGUGUAUAACAAUCGUGACCUGGAGGAAGGAGAAGGGAAACAGAGUAAAGAAAAACGGCAAGCCAAAAUUAUGUUAGCCAUCACUGGUGAUGCCCUAAAUGCACAAAGAUUGUCCAAGGGAAACUCAAAGGGCCAUAAGGAUAAUGCCAGCAAAGGCUCUUGCUUCAAAUGCAAUAAAAGUGCGAUUGGGCACAGGAAUCCACUAAGCCCCCGCCAGUCCCCUGCCGUCAAUGUAAAAGCACCAGUUGUGGCUCCUGGCCCUGGAGAAUUGACUGUCCCUGCUCCCACCAAGGGGCUCAGUCAGUCAAAACUCUGGCAGUGCACAAGGAGGAAUCAGAUGAAGACUGAAGGGGCCUGGGGCCUUCCUCACUGCCCCGUCUAGGAACAUUGUAAUUACUACUGAGGAACCCUGGGUAACUCUGGACAUCAUGGCCACCCAAAUUCAGUUUUUAUGUGAUACCAAGGUGAAUUAUUCUGUACAACUGCUUAUGCAGGAAAACUUUCCUCCCGGUCCAUGAGUGAUAUUGGAUGGAAGGGAAGCCACAAACAAGAUUCUUACUCCUCCUUUGGUUUGUCAAUUUGAGAAACAAAUCUUCCAACAGGAAUUUUUAGUAGUACCAAGCUGCCCAAUUCCCCUGUGGGAAAGAGAUAUUAUGGUGAAAAUAGUGACACUACUGCAAUUUAAGCAAUAUUAGCAGGUGAAACUGCUAAUAGUAAGAAAUAAGGCAAUGUCCCAGACCAUGUCAAUAAACAGGUUAACCCACUGGCAUGGUAUACUGGAAACCCAGGGAAGGCUAAAACAGCAGUGCCAGUCAAAAUACAGCUUAAAGACCCCAGCCAUUUUCCCAAUGGAAAACAAUACCCAGUUGAACAGGAAGCAAGCAAAGGUCUAGCUCCCAUAGUUGAGAUAUUACUUACCCAUGGACUCUUAAAACCCUGCAAUUCUCCCUGCAAUACCCCCAUCUUACCUGUUCUCAAGCCUGGGGGGAAUACCAGCUAGUACAGAACCUCAGAAUAAUGAAUGAGGCUGUUAUCCCCGUCCACCCAUUGGUGGCAGAUCCAUAUGCCCUCCUGGCUCAGGUGCCAGGGCAUGCAAAAUGGUUCUCAGUCCUAGACCUUUCUUCUCCAUUCCUCUGGCCCCGAGCCCCCCAGUACCUUUUUGCUUUCGAAUGGGAAAAUCCUAAUACCAGAUAAAAACAAUACACUUGGACAGUGCUUCCUCAGGGCUUUCGGGAUAGCCCCCACUUCUUUGCCUGAGCAUUAGAGCGGGAUCUGAGGGAUUUCAAGUUAGAAAAUGGAGGUAUUCUUCAGUAUGGGGAUGACCUUGUGUGUAGCCCAACCUAGGAGGUUUCUGACCAAAAUACUAUAAAAACUUUGAAUUUCCUGGCAGACAGAGGAUACAAAGUGUCCAAAAAGAAGGCUCAGAUUACCCUCCAAUGGGUCCACUAUUUAGGAUAUGUCUUAACACCCGGAACCCGGCAAAUAUCCCCAGAAGGAGUGCAAGCUAUAUGUGGUUUGGCCGCGUGCACCACCCCCAGCCCCCACCCUGACCCACCUCCAAGCAGCAGCUUUGUUCCUUUUUGGGGAUGGCCGGGCUUUGGAGAAUAUGAGUACCAAAUUUUGGGCUCAUAGCAAAGCCCCUAUAUGAAGCAACAAGGGGGCCUGAAAAUGAGCUAAUGGAAUGGACCCCGGAAAUGAGGAAAGCCUUUGCCAAGUUAAAACAGGUUCUCACCCAGGCUCCUGCUCUUGGUAUCCCAGACCUAAUUAAGGCCUUCUCCUUGUAUGUAGCAGAGAAGAGGGGCAUAGCUGUGGGAGUGCUAGCCCAGAAAUUAGGAUCAGAACCCAGACCAACCGCCUACUUCUCAAAAAAGUUGGACGGAGUGGCCUCAGGAUGGCCAAGUUGCCUGCGGGCAAUAGCAGCCACUGCUGUUAGUGGAGGAAGCCACUAAAAUCACCCUAGGGCAACCACUGGAAGUUCUAACGCUCCAUCAGGUAAAGUUAGUCUUAGAAAUAAAGGGACACAUCUGGAUGACAGGGGAAAUGUUAACUAAAUACCAGCCCAUGCUCCUAGACAAUCCAGAUAUAACUCUUAAAACCUGCAACACUUUAAAUCCAGCUUCAUUGCUGCCCACAGGCCCAAUAAUUGAUCAUUCCUGUGAGCAGGUCAUUGCACAUACAUAUGUUAGCCAGCCUGAUUUAAAAGAUGAGGCUCUCCCAGAUUCUGAAGCUGACCGGCUCACAGACGGCAGUAGUUCUUUGUCGAAUGGGGAGCACAGAGCUGGAUAUGCAGCAGUAAAUCAUGACACAAUUAUUGAAGCCCAGCCAGUGCCCCCUGGCACAUCAGCACAAAAGGCUAAAAUCAUUGAUCUUACUCAAGCAUUAAUGUUGGGACAAGGGAAAAAACUUAACAUCUAUACAGAUUCUAAAUAUGCAUUCCUUGUGGUUCAUGCUCAUACCGCCAUCAGGAAAGAAAGGGGAUUACUUACUAGCAAGCACUCCCCUAUAGAGCAUGGACCUGAAAUUCUGCAGCUAUUGAAGGCAAUACACCUGCCAAAGGCCAUAGCUAUCAUUCAUUGUAGGGGGCAUCAAAGGGACUUAACCCCUAUAGCACAAGGGAAUGGAAAGGCUGACGGAAGCCAAAGCAAAAGCCCUCAGCGUGCAAUCCCAACAGAUCCUAGCACUGCUUCCUUUCUACAAUUCCCCAGUAGAACCCAAAUACACACCACAGGAAGAACAGCUAAUAAAAAAAGCAAGGGAGACAAAAACAAGGAUCCUGGUGGCAUAUGGAGCCAAAAAUAUAUCUCCCUCAGGCAGCCCAGUGGAGAGUUAUAAAAGCCCUGCAUGACUCUUUCCAUGUGGGGAGGGAUGCGGCUCUGGCCAUGGUAAACAAGUUCUUUACUGGGUUUAACUCAGCUUCAAUGGCUAAGCAGGUCUGUCAAGCCUGCUCACUGUGUGCAUUUAACAAUCCAGGCAUCAAAAUGCCCCCUCUAAUAAAACCAGUCCAAAGGAGGGGAACUUAUCCAGGGGAAGACUGGCAGUUAGACGUCAUCCAUAUGCCAGCUUGCAGAGGAUACAAGCUUUUGUUAAUACUAAUAGAUACUUUUAGGUUGGGUCAAAGGUUACCCCAGAAAAGGCUAAUGAGGUUCUAAGGUCCUCUUAAAAGAAAUAAUUCCCCAGUUUGGGUUACCUCAGGGUCUCCAAAGUGAUAAUGGCUAAUCCUUUAUCUCCCAAAUAACUCAAGGGGUUGCUAAGGCUCUUGGAAUAAAAUACUAUUUACAUUCAGCCUGGAGGCCCCAAUCCUCUGGAAAAGUGGAAAGGGUUAACCAAACUCUAAAAUAAGCACUAGCUAAACUAUGUCAGGAAACAUCAGAAACUUGGGUUAGCUUAUUGCUCACAGCCCUUUUAAGAAUUUGUAAUACCCCUAGCUCAAAAAUUAACAGAAGCCCAUAUAAAAUGUUAUACAGAAGGCCAUUCUUAACUAAUGAUUUAAUUAUUGACCCAGAAAGAGUUGGUGUAAUUAAAUACCUAGUCAACCCAGAACAAUUCCAGCGGGUUUACAAGAGUUUGGAAUUCAAAGGCUCCUCACACUUGGAACUAACCAGCAACCCAAAAUCAGGCCAGGAGAUAGGGUACUUGUUAAAACAUGGAAUGAGGGAUCACCUGCCCAACAAUUACAACCCCAAUAGAAGGGACUUUUUUCAGUAAUACUGGCCACGUCUUCUGUGGUCAAAGUACUAGUAUUAGAUAGCUGGAUACAUCUUUCAAGGAUCAAACCAUCAAUACCAGAAGCUCCAGACCAGGAACCUGAAGUUCCCAUCAGCCAGUACACCUGUGAACCAGUGGAGGACCUGAAGUACCUGUUUAAAAGAUAGCCAAAAGAUAAGUAAAUGCCUACCAACUUUCUUUGGUGUCUUUGUUGCAUAGUUACUGUGGGCUGGAAAAUAGUAGCCAUUUUUAUCUUUGCAGUUUAAUUGCCUUCUUCCAAAUAGAUAAAAAUCACUUCCUUUGUAAUAAUUAAACAGAAUUUAAAAAAUACAUUUCUAUGACAAAUAUUCCUGAUGGCAUAAGUAUCCACCCCAAGGUUCCCAUUAAAUCUUUUAACCUAAAGUAUUUCCUCUCACCUAGAGAUCAUCGAGCUGUGUGACAAGGGUGCCAGCCACUCCAGGUGAAGACACCACCCCAGGCCAUCAAGGAUCUUCCCUACCUUCACUAAACAGAGCAGGGUGAAAGUUGUGUGAUCCCCAAUAGGUAGGGACUACACCCCAAGUCAGCAGGAAGCAGUUACAGAAGAAAGACCAUUGGUCCCUCUGCUUCCCAUAAAGAUUUAUGGGGAUCACAGCUUUCACGGGGGAGAUGAGGCAAGAGAAUAGGGCAUGCAGGCAGGGUACUUGAGGCCAAUCCACGCUGACUUCCUAGAACUGAAUUAAAUGAAAGCUCCUCAGCAAUGACAGGAAUGUGAAUGGCUUUGUAACUUCUUCCUCUCCAUUAAUGCUAUUUCCACUUUGUAACUUCACUUUCAUCCUCUCCAUUUACAUAGAUCACACACCAAGUAACAUCCUCUCCAUUUACAGUAGGGCGCAUUCCGAGUCAAUGACUCUGACUGCACUUCGUUCUCCUCAUUUACAUAGAACAUUCGCCAAGUAACCAAUGGGAAACCUCUAGAGUAUUGAAACUCCAGAAAAUUCCGUAAGUGGGGCUCUUGAGCGUCUACACUCGGGUCGCUCCCACACUGUGGCGUGUACUUUUAUUCUCAAUAAAUUCCCGCUUUUGCUUUCCUCGUUC